UACGUAGGUGGCAAGCGUUGUCCGGAUUUAUUGGGUUUUAAGGGUGCGUAGGCGGCUUUGUAAGUCAGUGGUGAAAUAUGGCAGCUCAACUGUCAAGGUGCCAUUGAUACUGCGGAGCUUGAGUACAGAUGAGGUAGGCGGAAUUGACGGUGUAGCGGUGAAAUGCUUAGAUAUCGUCAAGAACACCUAUAGCGAAGGCAGCUUACUAGGCUGUAACUGACGCUGAGGCACGAAAGUGUGGGGAUCAAACAGG
rnacentral:rRNA from 1 species